rnacentral:rRNA from 1 species
UACGUAGGGGCUAGCGUUAUCCGGAAUUACUGGGCGUAAAGGGCGCGCAGGCGGUAUAUCAAGUCAGCUGUCAAAGACUGGGGCUCAACCCUGGUAUGCGGUUGAAACUGAUAUGCUGGAGUGCUGUAGAGGCGAGUGGAAUUCCCAGUGUAGCGGUGAAAUGCGUAGAUAUUGGGAAGAACACUGGUGGCGAAGGCGACUUGCUGGGCAGCAACUGACGCUGAGGCGCGAAAGCCAGGGGAGCAAACGGGAUUAGA